UACGAAGGGGGCUAGCGUUGUUCGGAAUUACUGGGCGUAAAGCGUGCGCAGGCGGCCUUCCAAGUCAGGGGUGAAAGCCCAGAGCUCAACUCUGGAAUUGCCUUUGAGACUGUGAGGCUUGAGUACGGGAGAGGUGAGUGGAAUUCCCAGUGUAGAGGUGAAAUUCGUAGAUAUUGGGAAGAACACCGGUGGCGAAGGCGGCUUUCUGGACGAUAACUGACGCUGAGACGCGAAAGCGUGGGGAGCAAACAGG
rnacentral:rRNA from 1 species